rnacentral:rRNA from 1 species
GACGAACGCUGGCGGCGUGCUUAACACAUGCAAGUCGAACGAUGAAGCUAGAGCUUGCUCUGGUGAAUUAGUGGCGAACGGGUGAGUAACACGUGAGUAACCUGCCCCGAACUCUGGGAUAACUGCUGGAAACGGUAGCUAAUACUGGAUACGACCUACGAAGGCAUCUUCUGUAGGUGGAAAGAAUUUCGGUUCGGGAUGGACUCGCGGCCUAUCAGCUUGUUGGUGGGGUAAUGGCUCACCAAGGCGACGACGGGUAGCCGGCCUGAGAGGGUGACCGGCCACACUGGGACUGAGACACGGCCCAGACUCCUACGGGAGGCAGCAGUGGGGAAUAUUGCACAAUGGGCGCAAGCCUGAUGCAGCAACGCCGCGUGAGGGACGACGGCCUUCGGGUUGUAAACCUCUUUUAGUAGGGAAGAAGCGAAAGUGACGGUACCUGCAGAAAAAGCACCGGCUAACUACGUGCCAGCAGCCGCAGUAA